UUUUUUUUUUUAUUUUUUUUUUUUUUUUUUUUUUUCA
rnacentral:ribozyme from 1 species